ACGGCCAUACCACAAACACCGGUUCUCGUCCGAUUACCGAAGUUAAGCAAUGUCGGUCAGUACUUGGGAGGGUGACCACCUGGAAAAACCGGGUGCUGUUGGCU